GCGAAGCAUAGGAGGGAAAUCAAAUGUUUGAACGCUAGCAUAUAAGUUUAGUGUUUUUCUGACUAUUUGGAUUGGCUACAACAUACUGGAUCUGAAAUUAUAUUUGCUAAAUGAAAAAUAGCACCUUAAUAUUGUUGUUUGCUAUAGAUCAAAGGGAGAGAUGGGGGGAAGAACAGUUUGCUUAAUGUAGGCCUAGGCCUAUUUUGAUAUCAUCAUCAAACGUUUUUUAUCCAUUUUCUCAUUUACUGAUAUCAAGACAGUAGGCUAUGUUAUAGUUUCAAUCUCUGAAAAACAAAGUAGACCUAGGCUAGUCUAACAUUGCCUGGCAAUGUAAAAGCUCCACAGUGAUAAAAAAAAUGUUUGAUGUGAAGAAAUCUGGAUUUAGGGUUUGCCAGGGAGACAGAAGGCUGGAUCAGAUAAGGGAAAGUCAAGGAAAGAUUAAGUAAAACUAAAAGUAGAUUAAAGGCCAUGACUUGUGGCAUGUGUGUGUUUGAAUAACUCUCGCUCUCUCUCUCUCUCUCUCUCUCCCCAGUGCCAUUCCUAAAAACUACAGGAGCGGAGAUUCAGGCGCGCAGAUGGGGAAGAGAUGAUUGGGACCUCCACUCUCACCCAGUGGCAUGUAACCAAGAGGCUUUCAUGCAGAAUGAUUCGAUUUGAUGAAGAUGAAAUAGGGAGCAAAAAUGUACCAGUAACGCCACCUGAUGGAGGUUUGGGGAACUUGCAGUGUGUUCACCUGGCUAAAAAGGCUGAGUAAAAUACAUUCACACACACACAGCUUCACACAUCACAUCUGGAUUUUUUUAUUUUUGUAUUUUAAGUUUUAUUAAAUCAUUUUGUUACAUAAA